UAAAACUUAUAUAUACGAUUU
rnacentral:piRNA from 1 species